CGCGUAGGCGGUCGAUCAAGUUAGACGUGAAAUCCCCAGGCUUAACCUGGGAACUGCGUUUAAUACUGAUUGGCUUGAGUCCGGGAGAGGGUGGUGGAAUUCCCAGUGUAGAGGUGAAAUUCGUAGAUAUUGGGAGGAACACCAGUGGCGAAGGCGGCCACCUGGACCGGUACUGACGCUGAGGUGCGAAAGCGUGGGGAGCAAACA
rnacentral:rRNA from 1 species